AGUGAACGCUGGCGGUAGGCCUAACACAUGCAAGUCGAACGGCAGCACAGUAAGAGCUUGCUCUUACGGGUGGCGAGUGGCGGACGGGUGAGGAAUACAUCGGAAUCUACUUUUUCGUGGGGGAUAACGUAGGGAAACUUACGCUAAUACCGCAUACGACCUACGGGUGAAAGCAGGGGAUCUUCGGACCUUGCGCGAUUGAAUGAGCCGAUGUCGGAUUAGCUAGUUGGCGGGGUAAAGGCCCACCAAGGCGACGAUCCGUAGCUGGUCUGAGAGGAUGCUAGGCCACACGGGAACUUAGACACGGACCAGACUCCGACGGGAGCCACCAGUGGGUAAUUUUGCACAAUGGGCGCAAGCCUGACCCAGCAAUACCGCGUGGGUAAAAAAGCCUUUCGGGUUUUAAACCCUUUUUGUUGGGAAAAAAAAGCAGCGGGUUAAUACCCCGCUGUUCUGACGUCACCAAAAGAAUAAGCCCCGCCUAACUUCGUG
rnacentral:rRNA from 1 species